UACGAAGGGGGCUAGCGUUGCUCGGAAUUACUGGGCGUAAAGGGCGCGUAGGCGGACAGUUUAGUCAGAGGUGAAAGCCCAGGGCUCAACCUUGGAAUUGCCUUUGAUACUGGCUGUCUUGAGUUCGGGAGAGGUGAGUGGAAUGCCGAGUGUAGAGGUGAAAUUCGUAGAUAUUCGGAAGAACACCAGUGGCGAAGGCGGCUCACUGGCCCGGUACUGACGCUGAGAUACGAAAGCGUGGGGAGCAAACAGG
rnacentral:rRNA from 1 species